rnacentral:tRNA from 1 species
GGGGUUGUGGCUUAGUGGUAGAGCGCUCGCUUAGUAUGCAUGAGGUACUGGGUUCAAUCCUCAGCACCA